rnacentral:rRNA from 1 species
GUCCUAGCCGUAAACGUUGGGUGCUAGGUGUGGGCGGAUAUCAACCCCGUCCGUGCCGAAGCUAACGCAUUAAGCACCCCGCCUGGGGAGUACGGCCGCAAGGCUAAAACUCAAAGGAAUUGACGGGGCCCGCACAAGCGGCGGAGCAUGCGGCUUAAUUCGAUGCAACGCGAAGAACCUUACCUGGGCUUGACAUGCAGGGUGAAACCCGUGAAAGCGGGCGCUCUUCGGAGCCUGCACAGGUGGUGCAUGGCUGUCGU